rnacentral:rRNA from 1 species
CCUACGGGCGGCUGCAGUGGGGAAUAUUGCACAAUGGGCGCAAGCCUGAUGCAGCCAUGCCGCGUGUGUGAAGAAGGCCUUCGGGUUGUAAAGCACUUUCAGCGGGGAGGAAGGCGUUAAGGUUAAUAACCUUGGCGAUUGACGUUACCCGCAGAAGAAGCACCGGCUAACUCCGUGCCAGCAGCCGCGGUAAUACGGAGGGUGCAAGCGUUAAUCGGAAUUACUGGGCGUAAAGCGCACGCAGGCGGUCUGUCAAGUCGGAUGUGAAAUCCCCGGGCUCAACCUGGGAACUGCAUUCGAAACUGGCAGGCUAGAGUCUUGUAGAGGGGGGUAGAAUUCCAGGUGUAGCGGUGAAAUGCGUAGAGAUCUGGAGGAAUACCGGUGGCGAAGGCGGCCCCCUGGACAAAGACUGACGCUCAGGUGCGAAAGCGUGGGGAGCAACCAGGAUUAGAUACCCGUGUAGUC